UUGUUUUAACUUCCAUUCUGUCCUAGGCCUCUAGGACAGAAUGGAAGAAGCUUUGAAGGUAAUCAACAUAUCAAUAUGGUAAGAGUACCGAGACAUCUUGGAAACAAAAACAGCAGGACGGCGACUGACAAGAUAGCAAGUGAACUAAUCCUGAUGUAUCACAACACAGCUUGGAGAUGAGAUGUGACCUUGUCUUGGGGCUUGAGGUCUGACUGGGCCCAGGAAGAUGGAUGGGUUUGCAGUGUUGGUUGAAAGCUGCACUGACCUCAAGAAGGAGCCCUGAUUGUGGUGCCAGCAUGACAGCAGACAGCAGGGGAGGAAAUCAAGACAAGCACCUCUGAUGCACAUGUGGAUGGC